rnacentral:rRNA from 1 species
UUCGGUCGGGAACUCAAAGGAGACUGCCAGUGAUAAACUGGAGGAAGGUGGGGAUGACGUCAAGUCAUCAUGGCCCUUACGACCAGGGCUACACACGUGCUACAAUGGCGCAUACAAAGAGAAGCGACCUCGCGAGAGCAAGCGGACCUCAUAAAGUGCGUCGUAGUCCGGAUUGGAGUCUGCAACUCGACUCCAUGAAGUCGGAAUCGCUAGUAAUCGUGGAUCAGAAUGCCACGGUGAAUACGUUCCCGGGCCUUGUACACACCGCCCGUCACACCAUGGGAGUGGGUUGUAAAAGAAGUAGGUAGCUUAACCUUCGGGAGGGCGCUUACCACUUUGUGAUUCAUGACUGGGGUGAAGUCGUAACAAGGUAACCGUAGGGGAACCUGCGGUUGGAUCACCUCCUUA